AGAGUUUGAUCCUGGCUCAGGACGAACGCUGGCGGCACGCUUAACACAUGCAAGUCGAACGAGAGAAGAGGAGCUUGCUUUUCUGAUCUAGUGGCGGACGGGUGAGUAACACGUGAGCAAUCUGCCUUUCAGAGGGGGAUACCGAUUGGAAACGAUCGUUAAUACCGCAUAACAUAAUUGAACCGCAUGAUUUGAUUAUCAAAGAUUUAUCGCUGAAAGAUGAGCUCGCGUCUGAUUAGCUAGUUGGUAAGGUAACGGCUUACCAAGGCGACGAUCAGUAGCCGGACUGAGAGGUUGAUCGGCCACGUUGGGACUGAGACACGGCCCAGACUCCUACGGGAGGCAGCAGUGGGGAAUAUUGCACAAUGGAGGAAACUCUGAUGCAGCGAUGCCGCGUGAGGGAAGAAGGUUUUAGGAUUGUAAACCUCUGUCUUCAGGGACGAAAAAAGACGGUACCUGAGGAGGAAGCUCCGGCUAACUACGUGCCAGCAGCCGCGGUAAUACGUAGGGAGCGAGCGUUGUCCGGAAUUACUGGGUGUAAAGGGAGCGUAGGCGGGAUCGCAAGUCAGAUGUGAAAACUAUGGGCUUAACCCAUAAACUGCAUUUGAAACUGUGGUUCUUGAGUGAAGUAGAGGUAAGCGGAAUUCCUAGUGUAGCGGUGAAAUGCGUAGAUAUUAGGAGGAACAUCAGUGGCGAAGGCGGCUUACUGGGCUUUAACUGACGCUGAGGCUCGAAAGCGUGGGGAGCAAGCAGGAUUAGAUACCCUGGUAGUCCACGCCGUAAACGAUGAUUACUAGGUGUGGGGGGACUGACCCCUUCCGUGCCGCAGCAAACGCAAUAAGUAAUCCACCUGGGGAGUACGACCGCAAGGUUGAAACUCAAAGGAAUUGACGGGGGCCCGCACAAGCAGUGGAGUAUGUGGAUUAAUUCGAAGCAACGCGAAGAACCUUACCAGGUCUUGACAUCGUAUGCAUAGCUCAGAGAUGAGUGAAAUCUCUUCGGAGACAUAUAGACAGGUGGUGCAUGGUUGUCGUCAGCUCGUGUCGUGAGAUGUUGGGUUAAGUCCCGCAACGAGCGCAACCCUUACUGUUAGUUGCUACGCAAGAGCACUCUAGCAGGACUGCCGUUGACAAAACGGAGGAAGGUGGGGAUGACGUCAAAUCAUCAUGCCCCUUAUGACCUGGGCCUCACACGUACUACAAUGGCUGUCAACAGAGGGAAGCAAAGCCGCGAGGUGGAGCGAACCCCUAAAAGCAGUCUUAGUUCGGAUUGUAGGCUGCAACCCGCCUACAUGAAGUCGGAAUUGCUAGUAAUCGCAGAUCAGCAUGCUGCGGUGAAUACGUUCCCGGGCCUUGUACACACCGCCCGUCACGCCAUGGGAGUCGGCAACACCCGAAGCCUGUAGUCUAACCGCAAGGAGGACGCAGUCGAAGGUGGGAUUGAUGACUGGGGUGAAGUCGUAACAAGGUA
rnacentral:rRNA from 1 species